CAAAGACUCAUUUUAUUUAGCAAGACUGAAAAUAAAACUAACACAUAAAAUCACAGCUUUAGGGUUGUCCAAAAGAGUUCCUCCAUCUAUCAACCCAGGGCAAAUGAAUCCAGCAUAUUGUUUGUAGAAUGAUUAAUAUAACAGGAAUCAUUUCUCAGUUACAAAGAGGGUCAUUCAGUCCUCAGGGCUCUCUGCCAGUAGAAUUGGUUUUGACCAUUCAAUUAUCAGCUUGCUCAAAAGCAGAAAUAGAGAGGAAUGAAAAUACAAAGUGACUGGCUAUCACUUCUUUUAAAAGGCAACAACAGAAGCCGUGACUAGAACCUGCUGAACAGAACUAAAGCAUCAGUGGUUGGUGGACAAGCCACUAGUCAGGAUUCACUUAUCCUCAAACCUGGGUAAGUCAGUAAAUACGCCGAUCUCACUUCCACCAUUUACUCUAUAAAUGGUGAAGUUAUGUGUUGAAAGAUACAGAGACCCACAAACUGCAAAAGAUCAUUUUAAAAAAUCCACUUUCUU
rnacentral:lncRNA from 1 species